rnacentral:rRNA from 1 species
CCUACGGGAGGCAGCAGUGAGGAAUAUUGGUCAAUGGUCGGGAGACUGAACCAGCCAAGCCGCGUGAGGGAUGAAGGUACAGAGUAUCGUAAACCUCUUUUGUCAGGGAACAAAGGCGGGGACGUGUCCCCGGAUGAGUGUACCUGAAGAAAAAGCAUCGGCUAACUCCGUGCCAGCAGCCGCGGUAAUACGGAGGAUGCGAGCGUUAUCCGGAUUUAUUGGGUUUAAAGGGGGCGUAGACGGUGCGUCAAGUCUGAAGGGAAAGCCCGGGGCUUAACCCCGGGACUGCUUUGGAAACUGGCGCG